rnacentral:lncRNA from 1 species
ACAUUCAAAGCAAGCAAGGCCGUGGUGGGUGCGACCGUCCCUUCGCUCGCGAGAGGUGGCUGGCCACGCAAGCGGCCUACUUCCCGACCAGCGCUCACACGACGAGGAGUAUUUUCGAGAGUAAGUUUCUCGUUGUUUUGCGUCCCUGUACGCUUGUGCGAAAUCAAUUCUCUCGUUCUUGUGAUGAUGUUUAGCUUCCGGCGAAUGCCGCCACGAACAUUCAACACUUUGCUCGAGCUGCUGCGCCCCGCCAUCU